rnacentral:rRNA from 1 species
GGAAGAGCUCAAAUUUGAAAUCUAGUAGCCUUCGGCUGCUCGAGUUGUAAUCUAGAGAAGUGUUUUCCGUGCCGGCCCAUGUACAAGUCCCUUGGAACAGGGCGUCAUAGAGGGUGAGAAUCCCGUCCUUGACAUGGACCCCCGGUGCUCUGUGAUACACUUUCAACGAGUCGAGUUGUUUGGGAAUGCAGCUCAAAAUGGGUGGUGAAUUCCAUCUAAAGCUAAAUAUUGGCGAGAGACCGAUAGCGAACAAGUACCGUGAGGGAAAGAUGAAAAGCACUUUGGAAAGAGAGUUAAACAGUACGUGAAAUUGUUGAAAGGGAAACGAUUGAAGUCAGUCAUGCUCUUUGGUAUUUAUAUCAUUGAGUGGGGUCAACAUCAGUUUUGAUCGAUGGAUAAAGGCACUAGGAAGGUAGCACUCUCGGGUGAACUUAUAGCCUGGCGUCAUAUACAUUGAUUGGGACUGAGGAACGCAGCAUGCCUUUA